rnacentral:lncRNA from 1 species
CUAAAGGGCAUUUGGGGACUUAUGAUUUAUAUUAUAAUUGCAUUCCUGAUAUUUCUCACACUUGCCUUUAAGAUUUAUAAUGUAGAUAAUGAUUAAUAGCAUUGCUUACACACAUUUUCAUAAAUGGGCUGUUAGGUUUUAUUUAUUUUUAUUGUACGUUUCCUUGCACAUUUGUGUUUGAUAUUGUAUUUACUUAUAUAAGUCGUUUGCCUGUAGUCUUUUCAGUAUAUAGUCUGUAAGAUAUAGAUGCUGUGUCUCCUUUAAUUUAGUGAGAUCUACCUUUCUGCUGUCAGUGGACUAGAUUAAAUGAGUGUGUCUUCUAAAAUUUGUACCAUUAUUUAAAUAGGAUAUUAAUUUUUAUUGACAAAUGCUAGGCACCAGCAGUUUUAUGUAGCCCAUAGUUUUAGUGUGAACAGCCAGAAUCCUCUAGUGUACAGUUUGACGAGUUUCAUCUCACCUAUUUA